AACAGAUGAGGGAGCCAUUUUUCUGCAAUGGAAUUAAAUGGCCAAGUGGGUUUUUCCUUUGUUGCAAAUGGGGAAUGCUUUUCCUUUGACUCCACCAUCCAGUUCAGGACGCCUGAAUGUGUUUAACAUUUGCCAAAGGACUCACACUUGGAAGAAUGAAGACCUUUUAAAAAGAUCUGGAUUUUUCCUUAUGACUUGGAAUCCAUCUUUGUCUUGUAUAACUAGGUCAUAGCACACUAUUAAUGUCAGCAGUUAACAGUUUUGAAUUCAAAAAAACCUAAGUCUUGGCCGGAGACCGGAGCCAU
rnacentral:lncRNA from 1 species